rnacentral:lncRNA from 10 species
UCAGGGUGUGCAAGGUGAAAAGACAGUGCGCUCUGAAAAUAUAUGGGACCUCACUGUGGCUAGAACCAGAAACUGGUUCUCACCAUUUGGGAAGCCCAGCUCACUGCAAAAUAUGGCACACUCUGUAAGUGACAGUGACCUGUGAGGGCAGCCCUGCUGUGAUUCCCAGGGUUGGCAGAGGGAGGGGAGUCCUAGUGAUGAGGGGAGGGGUUAUCAGGCUUUUCUCUGCCCUGUCUCAUGACUGGCCCUUCCUUCAUGCAUAGAAAAGCUUCCAGGCUGAGGCUGAGUCAUUAGCAAUCUCCUUUGUUGAUGCUGCUGCCUGGAAUCCUUGUCUGGAUUCCUGUCUCACUCCUGUCUUGUACCGCAGUCUCUAGGUCUGGUUCCUUGAGGCUAUGUUGAGAGGACUUUACCCGCCAGCUACAAAAAUCAGGCAUAAGGCCAGGAAUGGGAAGGUUAUUGUGAGCACAAUCUAUGCACUUGUUAAUCAUUAUUACAUAUUAACCAAUUACUGCAUGGCAGAAAAGUGGGGCAAGAGACUACUCUUAAGCCACAUGUAGAUGUUGUAAUCCUGAGCUUUGUCUCCAUAAUGGGGUAAGAUGUCAGAAAAGAGUCAGAAAGCCCAGGUGAUAGAAUAAGUGCCAAGAACAUAUACACCAUGGAAUACUGUGCAGCCAUAAAAAGGAAUGAGUUCAUGUCCUUUGCAGGGACAUGGAUGAAGCUGGAAACCAUCAUUCUCAGCAAACUAACACAGCAACAGAAAACCAAACACCGCAUGUUCUCACUCAUAAGUGGGAGUUGAACAAUGAGAACACAUGGACACAGAUUGGUAAAACUUCAGCGGUUGGAUGACACCCUCUUUUGGUGAUGCCGUGGGGGAACGCAACAUGAUUCAACCCCAAUGAAAGAGAAGUUGCAAUAACCGCUAAGACUGCAGAUGCAUUUGACUCAGCAAACCCCCUUCAAGAAAUGCAUAUGAAAAAAACUCAUGUUUCAGGUUAUUCAUUACAACAUUGUUUGUAAUAGCAAAAUGUGGAUUAGAAAUAGUCCAGAUGUCUGUCCGUAGGGGACUGUUUAAUAAACUAUUGUCAGUCCCUUAGUGGAAAGUAAUUAUUUUCUCAGUGAAUAAAGGAAAAAAAUGACAUAAUUUUAUAACCAGCUUCCAGGCCCUCCAAAACACAGAGAGCUGUGUUGAAAGCCUCACAGACUGGUCGGGCGCGGUGGCUCACGCCUGUAAUCCCAGCACUUUGGGAGGCCGAGGCGGGUGGAUCUCGAGGUCAGGAGAUGGAGACCAUCCUGGCUAACACAGUGAAACCCCGUCUCUACUAAAAAUACAAAAAAUUAGCCGGGCGUGGUGGCAGGUGCCUGUAGUCCCAGCUACUCAGGGGGCUGAGGCAGGAGAAUGGCCUGAACCCUGGAGGCGGAGUUUGCAGUGAGCAGAGAUUGUGCCACUGCACUCCAGCCUGGGCGACAGAGCGAGACUCCGUCUCAAAAAAAAAAAAAAAAAAAAAAAAAGAAAGCCUCUCAGACAGAGAGACUCUUUGACCUCCCUAAACCUGAGCAUACGAAGAACCCCUUUCAAAACCUCAGACACAAAGCGAGA